ACCCUUUAAUGUUUGAUGUUCUAACGUGGAUCCGUAAUCCGGGUUGCGGACAGUGUCUGGUGGGUAGUUUGACUGGGGCGGUCUCCUCCUAAAGAGUAACGGAGGAGCACGAAGGUUGGCUAAUCCUGGUCGGACAUCAGGAGGUUAGUGCAAUGGCAUAAGCCAGCUUGACUGCGAGCGUGACGGCGCGAGCAGGUGCGAAAGCAGGUCAUAGUGAUCCGGUGGUUCUGAAUGGAAGGGCCAUCGCUCAACGGAUAAAAGGUACUCCGGGGAUAACAGGCUGAUACCGCCCAAGAGUUCAUAUCGACGGCGGUGUUUGGCACCUCGAUGUCGGCUCAUCACAUCCUGGGGCUGAAGUAGGUCCCAAGGGUAUGGCUGUUCGCCAUUUAAAGUGGUACGCGAGCUGGGUUUAGAACGUCGUGAGACAGUUCGGUCCCUAUCUGCCGUGGGCGCUGGAGAACUGAGGGGGGCUGCUCCUAGUACGAGAGGACCGGAGUGGACGCAUCACUGGUGUUCGGGUUGUCAUGCCAAUGGCACUGCCCGGUAGCUAAAUGCGGAAGAGAUAAGUGCUGAAAGCAUCUAAGCACGAAACUUGCCCCGAGAUGAGUUCUCCCUGAGACUUAGAGUCUCCUGAAGGAACGUUGAAGACGACGACGUUGAUAGGCCGGGUGUGUAAGCGCAGCGAUGCGUUGAGCUAACCGGUACUAAUGAACCGUGAGGCUUAACCUUACAACGCCGAAG
rnacentral:rRNA from 2 species